rnacentral:tRNA from 2 species
AUGACUAUGGCGAAAUUGGUAAACGCGAUUAGUUUAGGUCUAAUUAUUAUUAAAAUAUUAUGGGUUCAAUUCCCAUUAGUCAUA